GCUUCAUUGAUAUUGACGGUGCUACAGUCGUUAGCGAUCCGUUAUCCUCGCAAGAAUUUGCCCGGUAGCGUAUAAGCAAAACACAAAUCUAUCCAUGCAAGCAUUUACCGCUGGUGAACCGGCGGUUUUUUUUUGCCUGCCAUCCAGACAAAAGCGGCCCCUUGCGCAACGAUGCAGCAAGGGGCCGGCUCUGCGAGGGAUUAUCUCCGUUCAUUAAUCA
rfam:Salmonella enterica subsp. enterica serovar Enteritidis str. LA5, WGS project CAGR02000000 data, contig: Scaffold49-Contig3